rnacentral:rRNA from 1 species
AACGCUAGCGGCAGGCUUAACACAUGCAAGUCGAGGGGCAGCGGGAUGUAGCAAUACAUUGCCGGCGACCGGCGCAAGGGUGCGUAACGCGUGAGCAUCAUGCCCGUCACAGGAGGAUAAACCAUGGAAACGUGGCCUAAUACUCCAUAGUAUGUUUUGGAGGCAUCUCUGAGACAUUAAAGCUUCGGUGGUAUCGGAUGGGGAUGCGUGACAUUAGAUAGUAGGCGGGGUAACGGCCCACCUAGUCUACGAUGUCUAGGGGUUCUGAGAGGAAGGUCCCCCACACUGGAACUGAGACACGGUCCAGACUCCUACGGGAGGCAGCAGUGAGGAAUAUUGGUCAAUGGUCGGAAGACUGAACCAGCCAAGUAGCGUGAAGGAUGAAGGUUCUAUGGAUUGUAAACUUCUUUUAUACGGGAAUAAAACCUCCCACGUGUGGGAGCUUGUAUGUACCGUAUGAAUAAGCAUCGGCUAACUCCGUG